rnacentral:rRNA from 1 species
GAUGAACGCUAGCGGCAGGCCUAACACAUGCAAGUCGAGGGAGAAGCCCUUUCGGGGGCAGAAACCGGCGCACGGGUGCGUAACGCGUAUGCAACCUGCCUUUCACAGGGGGAUAGCCCGAAGAAAUUUGGAUUAAUACCCCAUAAUAUUAUUGGAUGGCAUCAUUUGAUAAUUAAAACUGCGGUGGUGAAAGAUGGGCAUGCGUCCUAUUAGCUAGUUGGAGUGGUAACGGCACCCCAAGGCUACGAUAGGUAGGGGUCCUGAGAGGGAGAUCCCCCACACUGGUACUGAGACAGGGACCAGACUCCUACGGGAGGCAGCAGUGAGGAAUAUUGGUCAAUGGUCGGAAGACUGAACCAGCCAUGCCGCGUGCAGGAAGAAUGCCUUAUGGGUUGUAAACUGCUUUUAUAUGGGAAGAAUAAGGCGUACGUGUACGUUGAUGACGGUACCAUAUGAAUAAGCAUCGGCUAACUCCGUG